GACAGAGGGUGCAAACGUUGUUCGGAAUUACUGGGCGUAAAGCGCACGUAGGCGGUUUGUUAAGUCGGAUGUGAAAUCCCUCGGCUCAACUGAGGAAGUGCAUCCGAAACUGGCAAGCUUGAGUACGAAAGAGGGUCGCGGAAUUCCCGGUGUAGAGGUGAAAUUCGUAGAUAUCGGGAGGAACACCGGUGGCGAAGGCGGCGACCUGGGUCGAUACUGACGCUGAGGUGCGAAAGCGUGGGGAGCAAACAGG
rnacentral:rRNA from 1 species